UAAGUACUCCUUGACGACCGAUAGCGAAUAAGUAAAGUGAUUGAACGUUUAAAAGUACCCCUAUUAGGGGGGUGAAAUAGACCUGAAACCGUAUGCCUACAAGCGGUCGGAGCCCUACGGGGUGACGGCGUGCUUUUUGCAUAAUGAGCCCGCGAGUUAGUCUCAGUGGCGAGCUUAAGGCCUAACGGGCCGGAGGCGGAGCGAAAGCGAGUCUGAAUA
rnacentral:rRNA from 1 species